rnacentral:rRNA from 1 species
UACGUAGGGGGCGAGCGUUAUCCGGAUUUACUGGGCGUAAAGAGCGCGUAGGCGGUUCCGUAAGUUGGUUGUGAAAGUUCGAGGCUCAACCUCGAAACUGCGUCCAAUACUGCGGGGCUUGAGUGCAAGAGAGGCAAGUGGAAUUUGCAGUGUAGUAGUGAAAUGCGUAGAUAUUGCAAGGAACACCAGUGGCGAAGGCGGCUUGCUAGCUUGUAACUGACGCUGAGGCGCGAAAGCUAGGGGAG